rnacentral:rRNA from 1 species
AUUGAACGCUAGCGGGAUGCCUUACACAUGCAAGUCGAGCGAAGCGCUUUGAAUUUUUCGGAAUGAGAAGUGACUGAGCGGCGGACGGGUGAGUAACGCGUGGGUAACCUGCCUCAUACAGGGGGAUAACAGUUAGAAAUGACUGCUAAUACCGCAUAAGCGCACGUCAUCGCAUGAUGGUGUGUGAAAAACUCCGGUGGUAUGAGAUGGACCCGCGUCUGAUUAGGUAGUUGGUGGGGUAACGGCCCACCAAGCCGACGAUCAGUAGCCGACCUGAGAGGGUGACCGGCCACAUUGGGACUGAGACACGGCCCAA